rnacentral:rRNA from 1 species
UACGUAGGGGGCAAGCGUUGUCCGGAAUUAUUGGGCGUAAAGCGCGUGUAGGCGGCCCGAUAAGUCCGCUGUGAAAGUCCAGGGCUCAACCCUGGGAUGCCGGUGGAUACUGUCGGGCUCGAGUCCGGAAGAGGAGUGUGGAAUUCCUGGUGUAGCGGUGAAAUGCGCAGAUAUCAGGAGGAACACCAAUGGCGAAGGCAGCACUCUGGGACGUGACUGACGCUGAGACGCGAAAGCGUGGGGAGCGAACAGG